rnacentral:lncRNA from 1 species
GAUACAUAACGUAGUGGAGAAUAACUAGGAAAUUGAAUAAAUCUCAUAGGAGUUAGGUUGAAGAAGCUAUCCCACUUUCAAAUCAGCUGAUCCCAGUUUUCCUGUUUGGGAAUAUGACAACUUCUUUGUCAUUCUAAUUAAACCAGGAUGAAUCGCAAUGUAAGAAGCUUGAUUUUGAUACAUAAAGUAGUGGAGAAUCACGGGGAAGUUGAAUAAAUCUCAUAGAAGUUAUGAUGAAGAAGCUAACCCACUUUUAAAUCAGGUCAUCCCAGUUUUCCUGUUUGAGAAUAUGACAAUUUCUUUGUCAUUCUAAUCAAACCAUGAUGAAUCGCGAUGGAAGAAGCUUGAUUUUGAUACAUAAUGUAGUGGAGAAUCACUAGGAAGGUGAAUAAAUAUCAUAGGAGUUAGGAUGAAGUAGCUAUCCCACUUUCAAAUCAGGUGAUCCCUGUUUUCGUGUUUGGGAAUAUGACAACUUCUUUGUCAUUCUUAUCAAACCAAGAUGAAUCGUGAUGUAAGAAGCUUGAUUGUGAUACAUAAAGUAGUGGAGAAUCACCAGGAAGUUGAAUAAAUCUCAUAGGAGUUAGGACGAAGAAGCUAUCCCACUUUCAAAU